rfam:Macrostomum lignano uti_cns_0000896, whole genome shotgun sequence.
AAAACGGCCCUUUUAAGGGUCACGGACAACAUCAAUAACGUGACA